UUAGGAAAUUUAUCUUAGAUUAAUAGAGUUACAAUGUUAGUUAGUACAAAUAUACAAAAAUAAAUUAUAAAUCACAAAAAUAAUACAAGAAUUGAGGUUGGGCCCUUAAUUGGCCCAUCAAUAAAGCUGCCCAGAACUUGGGCUUUGAAUUAUGAACUUCAGUCCAUAAUUAUCCAUAUAUAUCAACUGUAUAUCACAACUUUGCUUUGCUGCAUUUUUCUAUAUAUUUGCUGUAUACCCACAUAUAAAACCCCGUAUACUUGAUCCCACCUAUGUCAUACGUCGUAUCUUGGCUUAUACCAGCCACCUCUAACCUGGAGAACCCAUAUAUCCGCUGUAUACUAUGUAUACCAAUAACUAUUUCUUCAUGUUAAUCUUUUUGAGGACUUGGUCCCGGAGAGGUGUAGGAAUGUAAAGUUCAAUUGGACUCGGAUGAAUUCACAUACAUCAAAUAAAAGAUAAGGAUUAACAAGUGUCUACUUAUAAUAAAACGAGCAAAAUACUAUAUCAAAUGUCAACUUGAACAAACUAUAAUAAUCACGCACUUAAGGUAUAGAUCAUAUAUAAUUUAAAUCAUCUAUAAGUCGCAACAAUACAACACAACCUAAACUACCCAUAACCAACUUAAACUUCAAAAUCUUAAACCAAUACUCCUACCUUCUUACCUAUAACCUGCAACCCCUGUAUAUACCAAAAACAUACGCACGAUAGGAAAAAGAAGCAAAUUAACAACAAUUAUUACUACCUAGAUAUUUACUUCCUCACAACCAAAACAUACCAUAAUACUAAUAGAAACAAAGAAGCAAAUCCACUAUGUAUACUCCGUCAUGAUCCCAACAACACAAAACAACCACAUACUUCCUCACAAUCCCUUUCCAGCUACCAAAUUCCCUCACGCCCCUUUAUAGGUUUCUCAAAGAUUUCAAGUUAUUAGAUCUAACUACUCAUUCAAUAAGUUCAUCUUUCGUGAAUCGAAACAUUAGAAUUUUCCAACAGCGACUAUAACUAAAAAAAAUGAGCAAAUCCCAAACUUGCGAAGUAAAAACUAGCUAGAACAUGACUUAAAACAUCAAAGUUAAAAAGGUGUCAAAGUGCAGACAAGUUAACAAUACAAUCACAAAAAAAUUGACAUUAGCGCGAAAUAAGACGGAAUGAACACAAUCAGGUAUGCCUUAAAGCCAUUAUGAAGAUUAAAAAAAGACAAUUGUUAAAGUGAUAAAGAUAUUAUUUUUUGACAUUAAAUGUAAGUAUAGAAACCAUGAUAGUUUACUAAGAACCUUUACGCCAAAUAGAAUAAGAUAGCGAAGAAUUAAAUGUUGUUUUAUGGUCUUGACUAGGGACUAGCAAAAUUGAAAGCAUGUAAGCAUAUACUUCAAUUCUAAUACUGAUUUUCAAGAGGAAAAAGAGCAAUUCAAAGAACAAGUUUGUAACACCCCGAAAAUCUGUAAAACACAAUACUGAUACCACUUUUACAUUCUAAUAAAAGUCUAAAGAGAGGACUGAAAUUACAAUACUGACUCUAACUGACAUCUGUGAAGUCUUUACUAUACUGACUAUAAAUAGUUGGGAAGCUACUCUAACUAUCGCUAAUCAAUACAUAUGACUAAGAAAAGACACAACAUAAAUAAAUCCAACUGAAGUCCUUAAAGUAGGACUCAUCACCUUGCUGGCUGGAAUAUGCAACUGUCGGAGUCUGAAUGUGCCUACUAGAUCUUGUACCAACAUGAUGAGACAAUGUAAUACAUAGACAUAUAUGUGGAUCAGAACUUUGAGGAUGUACUGAGUAUAUGGGAGCGUAUGCAUUAAGUCAACAAUAUCAUUACUUUUUAUAAAACCAAGUAUGCUGAUAUAAAUGACUCACAUAGCUUGAAUAAAUCUGAAAUUUAAAUCUCAUAAAUCAUGAAUAAUGAAACAUGUAGCAUAAAUCUUGUGAGUCAUUAUACUUAGUUUAAAAAUUUGUAUUCUCCUCUUAUUCUCAAAGUUUGUAAGCAAAAAGGAAUCUUAAAACAAUAACUUUCAAAACUUAUGCUUUUAUCUUGAGGAGGAUAGGACUUUGGAAACACAAGGACUUGGGAACACAAGGACUAUAAAACUUUGGAGACUUGGAGAUUCUGGGAACUUGGGAAAUCUUAAAACAAUAGCUUUCAAAACAUAUACAUUCAUCUUAAGGAGAAUAGGGGACUUCUUUUGAAACUUAGGGAUUGUAGAACUUUGGGAGUUUCUUCUAACCAACAUAAACCAUGUGAGCUGACAUGGAGUCCAACGUCUUGCCCACGUUGGGGAGAAUUGUUCUACCCUUGCCAUCAGAAUAGAACCUUAACUUUAGUGAUCACAAUCUUAGCCCACUAUGGGCAAAUCAGAAACGUAAGGUGGCACGUAGUUCUGGGCAUGAGACCUUGGAAUCAUACCCAACUCGGUGCUAAAUACUACUCCCAUACUUAGGCUUAGAACUUUUAGGAAAUUCACCUUAAAACAGCACAAGGGUUUAUAAAGAAAAUCAAUUAUGCUUAUCUUUGUUUUAAAUCAUAAACUGUAUGAAUAAUGUGGAUUCCUAUCUUAGCUUGGUUCAAAGGAUCAACUUUCUAUAUCAAAAUCUAAAGAUAGCUAAUCAUGGGAUGCUUAAAUCAUGAUCAUUCUUGAAGUUUCAACAUACUAACUAGAGCUAAAUGACCCAUGCUUCAAUUUCAUAUCAAACACCACAAGGCACAUGCGUUAUAACACAAUUAUUCAUAAUUCAACUUAAAUUCUGGAAAAAUAUGAUCAUGUGCAUAAAUAUUCGAAAGUAGACAUGUAAAUCAAUAUCCAAACCAGUUAAAAUCUCAAAAUCAUGCAAUUAGCAACAUGGGGUAUAAACCCUAACUUUAAUUUCAUGGAAAUCAUAUCAAAAUUAAGAAAUUUGUAACUUAAAAUAAGCUUUUGAGCACAAGAACGAAAGAAUUGUUCUUGUUCAAACCCCACAUACCUUAUUUGGCUUGAUUCAAUGGAACAAGUUGACUUUUAAAGCCUUGAAAAUGUUCUUGGAGGCUUUUCUUGAAGGUUCUUGAAUGGUGAUGUUUUGAUUCUUAAAUUUUCUUGAAGAAGAGUUUGAACCUUGUUCUUGAGGGUUGAUCUUGAAAGGAACCCUAGUUUUGAUGCAAUGGGUGAAUAUGAAGUUAUGUUCUUUGAUUUGAUGUAAUUAGGUGUUUAAAAGGGUGGAAAAGACCCAAAAACCCCUUAAAAUGGCUUUUAGUCGCAAAACGGAGGUGCGGGACGAUUUGGGCGACGACCCCUUGCCCCAGGGACGGACCGUCCCUCAAACCAUCGCUUUAUGGCCAGAAAACGGGCUUACUGCCUCAGUUGCAACGAUUUGGGCGACGGUUCGUCGCAGGCGUGACAGUUCGUCGGCCUUCCCAUCGCACUUUGGCAGUCCGGAUAGCUUACUGUAAAACGGAUAUAACUUUUUACCCCGAAAACGGAUUUUGGCAAAAUUAGUAUCGUUGGAAAGAUAAUUCAAUCAUCUAACUGUUGGUGUGUCAUGAGCUCAGAAAUUCAUAGUAUAACGAAAGAUAUUCUCGUUUGAAGUUGACUGUACCAAUAUCCUUCUCAAGAAUUCAAUCGGUAAGAGAUAGGACAUAUUUGAGGCCUUAAUACACAUCAAACUUUAUCAUAAAACUACCAAAUCACUAAAAUUUAUUUCUCAUGAGUUUGAAGCAUGGUUCUACUAUCAGUUGGAAUUCUCGAGGUAUUACAAUAUCUCCCCCUUGGGAACAUUCGUCCUCGAAUGAAGUUGGCUAGCAGAGAAAACGGAGGAUGCACAGCUGAAAUAAAUUACAAAAAUGAUUCUACAUUAUUCUAAUCCUUUGAGUACUUCUGGGAAUGCAUGAACUUAUAAUAAGAAUAGCUAUAUAGCUGAAUAUUUGAUUAGAAGAGAACUGAAUUAAGGAAGACUACCACCUUCGGCUGGAUCUGAGUUCACGGAGAAGAGAUGAGAGGUUUAUGACAUUAAAACUCGGGGUAUUACAACACCCCCUCCUUAGGAUCAUUCAUUCCCAAAUGAUACUAAUUUGGUUGAAAUACUAGAAAAGACUAAGAUGAUAUAUAGGAUACUUACGGACUGAACCAUGACUUAAUAUCUAAAUCUGAAACUGAUGCAUGAUGCAUGUACUGAACUGAAUUUCGCAAUCUACUUGGAUGCGAACAAACUAUCUCUUGAAAUGGUCAUACUCACGAAAUUUUAGGUAGUGAGACUAGACUAAAUUAGAAUAUGUAAACUGAAUUUCUGGUUGCACGGACUGAAUCAUGCUGAAUGCUCUCCCCCAAAUAGGGUAUUUCUUCAACACCUUUCUAAUGAAAUUUCUAAGGCCAUUAGGGAGAAAGGGCAUGAUCUGAACAAGACCUCAGAAUAAGGAAUUACAACAUUGCUCCAAAUAUAGCAUGGAACAUAGACCUGUGAAUCAUAAGACGGGUUAGAAGUACUAGGCCUCAAGCAAUGCAACUUCUCACUUUAAAGCUUAGCCACACUUCUAAAAUACUCUCUCAACUAAACUUUCCCCUUAAACACCAUACUCAUUGACUCAACCUAUAAUCCUUACUUGGCCGUUGAGAAAUCCAUCUACCAAAGUCUAACUGAACCCAACUCUCUCGUUAUGGUCAAGCCUAACUCGAAAUCACAAGGUAUUACACAUAAUACCAUAACAUAACACCAGUCAGAAUCAUGAAUCCACACGCAUCUGCAUUUUUCACAACUUCUUUAUCUCCAGAAUAAUCCUCAUUACCACUCUAACAACUACAAUCCACCUAGUACUAGAUAUUCACUAACGCUCAAUGCAUCCCUCCGCAUGUAUACAAACAUGACAUUCAAGCCCAUCUUCAUAACCCUAUAUGCACUUCUAAACAAACGCUCAUAAAACAUCUUUUCCAUAUCCUACAAACCUCUAUCAAGAACAACUUCUAUGCACUAUUCUUAAGAAGACAUACAUAAAAUUUCAACUACUCACACAUAGCAUAUAAAAGUUUAACUAACCAUGACGUGUAUCAACGACUUGGCCUCAAUCCUACUUCACACUUAUAGCCUUAGCUAAAAUAAGCAUACAAUAAUCUUCCAUUAACAGGAAAUGUUUACUCUCUCCCAUCCAGACAAUUGUUUGUCAUCACUAUCUUGACCUAAGGAAAGGUAAUAAAAGGUUAGAACAUGAGGACCUGAAACAUGUAGGGAUACUGUGUAUACCGAUGCUUGAGGAAUAGAAUAUUUAACAUCAUGAACUCAUCAAAGAGGUCUGAUCUGAGGACAUGCAUGAUAUAAAUCUGAAUUUCGCUAAUCAUUAAAAGUAUUGCUUGAGUGCUUGAACUGAGCAUACUGUAAAACUUGAGUACAUGAGUCAUGAGCUGCAUGACCUAAAUUUGGAGUUCAUCACUUAUGAAAUGUGACUCCAACUGCUGAAAGAACUAGAACUCCUCAUUUUGGGAACUAGGAGGGUACAUGAUUCUCUAUCAUAUGCAUGAACAUAAACUAUGAUCAUGGAACAGAAGCACAAGGUAUGAGUAGGUAUUGGGAUAAUUGGAAAUAUUGAAAUAAGAAUGGGUCGGGCGUUAUCCUCUCUUAGGGUUUUCUACACUACACAAGCAUUUUAACAAAAAUCUGGAAGUCUGACUUGGUUACUCUUUCUGUCAUCUUCCCCUCAGACUUAAGUUAUCACUCUCAGUCUAUGAACUACUAUAUAAACUUUAAUCUAAUCCACAAUCACUUUAUUCUAGAGUCUGGGAUAAAAUCAAUACACAUAAAACUAAACUUACCCUGAAGGACUGUAUCUUCACGUAUAAUACUCAAUGCUAACACCUCCUUCUAAGAUUCAACUCUUAAAUUUCUAUAGCCCCAUAAGCCAUCAUAUAACAACUUAAACACUUGCCAACUUAGAUUCUAACACUAAACAUGGAUAUCUCUAAACCUUUGUUGAACUUCCCUCAUACUCUGCUAAUAUCACAUCUUUAACUUACCACAUCACCAACCUGUAACCUAUAAGUUAACUGACAAGAACACCAUAUACUAUACAACCUCAUUCAUACUUAUCAACUCAAGGGUAUUACCAAUCAUACACAAAACGUAAUAACCUUAAAAAGACAAAGCAACAUUAUAUUACCUUGAGCAUACAGUUGCACAUUAUACUUGCAACACCAUACUUAAUAACGAACAACUAAACUCAAACUCUUUCAUACAUGGUUUAAGCCUACAAGAUCACUCCCAUAUAAUUAGCCGCACUAACUAGGGAAUUAUUACACCCACCUUGGUAACUAUCCACUGUUCAAACUUAGUGUCUAGUGCCAAGCAUGAUUUGACAACUCACCUUACAUACAAUUCUUCCUCGAAAACUAUAAAAUAUAACAUCAAGAACACUAUUCCAUUAGAACUUCCGAGCAACAAUAAUCAAUCAAAAUCAUACGGCCUAUCUUAUCAUAAUCCAUUAACACAUCCUCCUUCUAAACCUCAUUACUAUUUACCCUUUUAUACAUCUGAAUUACUAUCAUAGCUCUAAAAGACUCAACUAAACACCCUCUUUGCCGCCUCAAGGGAAACCUAAAUUAAUACCACUAGACCACCAGACGCUUCAUUAAUAUCCUAUACUUUUCAGACACAAUAAAUACUAUCAAUAACUCUUCCCGUACUUCAAGCAACAACAAUUCACCUUACUAAUAACUCCGUCUCUACCUUCCACUAAACUAACACACAAGGACAUAUCAUCUUAACACAUCUUGAUAACAUGCAUAAGCUUACAUCUAUACUUCCUACCACUCGUCAUUCCUGCAUCUUAAUAACCCAACUCGAUGCUAAAUACUACUCCCAUACUUAGGCUCAGAACUUUUAGGAAAUUCACCUUAAAACAGCACAAGGGUUUAUAAAGAAACUAAUUAUGCUUAUCUUUGCUUUAAAUCAUAAACUGUAUGAAUAAUAUGGAUUCCUAUCUUAGCUUGGUUCAAAGGAUCAACUUUCUUUAUCAAAAUCUGAAAAUAGCUAAUCAUGGGAUGCUUAAAUCAUGAUCAUUCUUGAAGUUUCAACAUACUAACUAGAUCUUAA
rnacentral:lncRNA from 1 species